rnacentral:rRNA from 1 species
GACGUACCACCCGAACGUUAUUCGGAUUCACUGGGCUUACAGAGUCCGUAGGCGGUCAAGAAAGUUAGGCGUGAAAUCCCUCAGCUCAACUGAGGAAUAGCGCUUAAAACUACUUGGCUAGAGAGAGUCAGAGGUGAGCGGAACUGAUGGUGGAGCGGUGAAAUGCGUUGAUAUCAUCAGGAACACCGGUGGCGAAAGCGGCUCACUGGGGCUUUUCUGACGCUGAGGCACGAAAGCCAGGGGAGCAAACGGG